AUGCUACAAAGUAUAGAAGCUUAGUUGGAUGCCUUAUUUAUCUGACAAAUACGAGGCCAGAUAUUGUCUUUGCUGUCAGUUAUGUAUCAAGAUUUAUGCAUGAGCCAAGUAAGAAUCACUAUACAGCAGCAAAGAGAAUUCUUCGCUACCUACAAGGCACAAGAAAGCUUGGAAUUAAAUAUACAAAGGAGGCAGGUGACAAACUCAUGGGGUACAGCGAUAGUGAUUGGGCAGGCUCGGUGGAUGAUCGUAAAAGCACUUCUGGAUAUUUAUUCUGCUUAGGCACAAAACCAAUUUCAUGGUCAUCAAAGAAGCAAAGAACCGUUGCAUUAUCAUCAGCAGAAGCAGAGUAUAUAUCAGCCACAGAUGCCGCAUGCGAAGCUGUUUGGCUAAGAAGAAUUUUAACUGAUAUGCAGCAUGAAGAAAUUGCUCCAACAAUUAUCAAGUGUGAUAAUAUGUCAGCAAUUGCAAUGACGAAGAAUCCGGUAUUUCACAGCAGAACCAAGCAUAUUGAACUGCGACAUCAUUUCAUCAGAAAUUUGGUCGAAAAUGGAGAAAUUCAACUCGAGUUCAUCAAAACAAGUGAACAGCUGGCAGAUGUCUUCACGAAACCAUCCACUAUAGAAAAUAUGUAGAAACUUCCAAACAAUGAUGGUGAAAAUGCUAUAUAUAUGUGUGUGAUGUUUGUACGUUGUGUGAAGAAGAAGAAAAAAAGAAAAUAAUUUCACAAUUUCAUAAAGCUUUCCUACCCGUUCUCUCAUUUAAUUUUCUUGUCUCCACCAUUCAUUCAUAAUACCCAACAAAUUUGGUAUCAGAGCCAGGUUGUCCCGAUAAAUAUUUAUGGCUUCAAACACCCAAGCCUUAUUUAAUUAUACCCAAAAUCUAGUUCCUAUCUUCGCCGGUGAGAACUACGAAUUUUGGAGUAUCCAAAUGAGGACACUCUUCAUUUUACAAGAUUUGUGGGAUGUGGUCGAAGCUGGAUUCGAAGAACCAUCAAGUCCGGAAGAAUUGCAGUCAUGGACGGCAGCAGCAAAAAAGGAGCAUAAGCAAAAUGUCCAAAGAGACGCACGUGCAUUGCUCUAUAUUCAACAAGGGGUAAGUAGCAGUAUCUUCCCCAGAAUUUCUAAUGAUGCAAAAUCAAAAAUGCUUGGGAAAUUUUAAAGAGACAAUUUGGAGGCCAAGAGCAGGUAAUCUCCAUUAAACUUCAAACUCUCUUGCGAGAUUUUGAUAAUUUAUCCAUGAAAGAUUCCGAAACUAUUCAAGAAUUUUCUUCAAGAGUUUCGGGAAUUAUUAAUCAAAUACGAAGUUAUGGAGAUACCAUUGCUGAUAAAAAGGUCGUAGAAAAAAUAUUAAUAUGUUUACCUGCAAAAUUUGAGCAUGUCGUUGCAGCAAUUGAAGAAUUCAAGGAUUUAAAAGAUUAUUCCAUAGACCAAUUAUUUGGAUCUUUGGAAGCACACGAAAAAAGAAUGAGCAGGUUUUCAAAUCAGUCGGUGGAACAAGCAUUUAAAUCAAGUUGCAAUGUAGCCGAAAAUAAUUCAGCGACCACAUCAAAAAAUAGUGGAACAAGCAUUUAAAUCAAGUUGCAGUGUAGCCGAAAAUAAUUCAGCGACCACAUCAAAAAAUCCAUCAACACGAGGAAGCAUUUCAAGAAGAGGACGAAGCAAUCGAGGCCGAGGUGGAGGAAGAAAUAUCGGACAAAGAAAUUACCUAGGUAAUUCUAAACCAUAUUGCACUAUUUGCAAGAAACCUGGGCAUGAAAAUAAAGAUUGUCGUAAUAAAUGCACUAAAUGCAAAGUGCCUAAUCAUUCACAAAGAGAUUGUUGGUAUAAAGAUAUGCAUCAAAAGAAUGAGGUUAAUUAUACUGAAAAAUCCGAAGAAAGUCAAGUAUUUUAUUCAUGCAUGAGCACUCAACAUGAGUCAAAAAAUAUUUGGUACUUGGAUAGUGGUUGCAGUAGUCAUAUGACAGGAGAUAGACAACUCUUUGUGAAGAUGGAUGAAAAAUUUUCAUCGGAAGUCAAGCUUGGAGAUGGAAAAAUUCACGAGGUGAAAGGAAAAGGAGUAAUUGCAGUAAACUCCAAUGAAGGUAAUUCUAAACUCAUCCAUGAUGUGCUUUAUGUUCCUGGCCUAACAUCAAAUCUGCUAAGUGUUGGUCAGUUACUUCGAAAAAACUAUUCGGUGAAAUUUGAUGGAAAUGAAAGCAUAAUUUAUGAUAAAAACAAAAAUAUCAUUGUGGCAAAAAUAAGAAUGAAUCAAAAUAAUGUAUUCCCUCUUAUUAUGCCAUGUGAUGGAAAUUAUGCUUUCCAAAGUCAAAAACUAGAUGAGUCAUAUUUGUGGCAUUUAAGAUAUGGGCACUUAAAUUAUAACGGCCUAAAAUUAUUGAAAGAUAAACUUGUGGCAUUUAAGAUAUUGGCACAUAAAUUAUAACGGCCUAAAAUUAUUGAAAGAUAAAAAUAUGGUGUUAGGCCUACCUCCUAUAGCCCAUAUAGAUAAAGUUUGUGAAGGGUGUAUUUACGGGAAAAUGCAUCGAUUACCAUUUUCCAAAAAUGCAUGGAGAGCUAAAGCGCCGUUAGAAUUGGUGCAUGCUGAUAUUUUUGGACCGACGAGCACUCCAUCAAUAGGCGGUAAAAGAUAUUUUCUUUUGUUCGUGGAUGAUUAUACUCGAAUGAUGUGGAUAUAUUUUCUGAAAGAAAAGUCAGAGGCUUUUUCGGUUUUCCAAGAAUUUAAAGUGCUUGUAGAAAGACAAGUUGGGAAGCUUCUGAAGACACUUCGCACAGAUCGUGGUGGAGAAUUUCUCUCAAAGGCUUUUACUGAUUACUGCAAGGCAAAAGGAGUCCAAAGACAGCUCACCGUUCGUCACACUCCGCAGCAAAAUGGUGUUGCUGAACGCAAAAAUCGAACAAUAGCAGAAAUGGCAAGAAGCAUGUUGAAGGAGAAGGGGCUACCAAAUGAAUAUUGGGCUGAAGCUGUCAACACUGCCGCGUUCAUCCUCAACAGAUCUCCGACAAAGGCAGUUAUGAAUAAAACUCCGUACGAGGCAUGGUACAAGCAAAAGCCCCAGGUACAAUUUUUAAAAGUAUUUGGUUGCAUUGCUUAUGCACUUACACCCUCACAAUAUAGAGAAAAAUUUGAUCAAAAAGGAGAAAAAUAUAUCUUCAUUGGAUAUAGUGAUGAAUCAAAAGGAUAUCGUUUGUUUGAUCCAAAAACAAAUAAACUUGUGAUCUCUCGAGAUGUAAUAUUUGAUGAAUAUGCAAAAUGGAGUUGGGAAAGCAAUUCAAGCACAGGAGCAAAAAUAUUUGAAGAAGUCGCAACUCAAGAAAGCUCAGACUCCCAACCUGUUCAAGUUUCAAGUCACGAAGACUCUCGAAGCACAAGAGACACAUCACCAAAUGUUGACUCCUCGCCACUAAAAAAGGUACGCUCCCUCAGAGAUAUUUAUGAAGCUUCUAAUGUUGCCUUUUUUGUAUGUGAGCCACAAAAUUAUGAAGAAGCAGUAAAAGAAGAUAUAUGGAUAAAUGCUAUGAACGAAGAAAUUGCAACAAUCGAGAAGAACAAUACAUGGGAGUUAGUAGACCUACCAGAAGGUAAAGAAGUCAUUGGACUGAAAUGGGUCUACAAGACAAAGUACAAAGAAGAUGGAACAAUUCAAAAGCAUAAAGCUCGACUAGUGGCGAAAGGAUACUCACAACAGCCAGGAGUCGACUUCACAGAGACAUUCGCGCCAGUUGCUCGAAUGGAGACAGUCAGGACAGUUCUUGCACUAGCUGCUCAAAUGGAGACACCAGUUUAUCAGCUAGAUGUCAAAUCAGCUUUUCUAAAUGGAGAAUUACAAGAAGAAGUAUAUGUGGAGCAACCUCUGUGUUAUAUUGUCAAAGGAAGCGAGAACAAAGUCUUGCGGCUAAAAAAGGCACAGUAUGGAUUAAAACAAGCACCACGAGCCUGGAACAGCAAGAUUGAUUCCUAUUUUCAACAAAAUGGAUUUCAACGCAGCCCGAGCGAGCCUUCCUUGUACGUCAAAAGAGAAGGUACGCAUGAUAUUCUAAUCGUCUGCUUAUAUGUUGAUGAUUUGAUAUAUUGUGGCACUAACCCAAAGAUGGUAGAAGAAUUCAAAAGUUCCAUGAUGAAAGAAUACGAGAUGACAGAUCUUGGUCUUAUGAAGUAUUUUCUUGGCAUCCAAAUUCAACAAGCAAAAGGAGAAAUAUUUAUUUCUCAAGAAAAAUAUUUAAAUGAUCUUCUUAAGCGGUUUGGCAUGAAUGAUUGCAAACCGAUAUCAACGCCAAUGGCGUUAAAUGAGAAGCUAAGCAAAGAAGAUGACUCAGAAAAAGUUGAUGCUACAAAGCAUAGAAGCUUAGUUGUAUCUGACAAAUACGAGGCCAGAUAUUGUCUUUGCUGUCAGUUAUGUAUCAAGAUUUAUGCAUGAGCCAAGUAAGAAUCACUAUACAGCAGCAAAGAGAAUUCUUCGCUACCUACAAGGCACAAGAAAGCUUGGAAUUAAAUAUACAAAGGAGGCAGGUGACAAACUCAUGGGGUACAGCGAUAGUGAUUGGGCAGGCUCGGUGGAUGAUCGUAAAAGCACUUCUGGAUAUUUAUUCUGC
rnacentral:lncRNA from 1 species